rnacentral:rRNA from 1 species
UACAGAGGGGGCCAGCGUUAUUCGGAAUUACUGGGCGUAAAGGGCGCGUAGGCGGCCUGUUAAGUCGAACGUGAAAUCCCCAGGCUCAACCUGGGAACUGCGUCCGAUACUGGCAGGCUUGAAUCCGGGAGAGGGAUGCGGAAUUCCAGGUGUAGCGGUGAAAUGCGUAGAUAUCUGGAGGAACACCGGUGGCGAAGGCGGCAUCCUGGACCGGUAUUGACGCUGAGGCGCGAAAGCCAGGGGAGCAAACGGG